AAUUUUGGACAAUGGGGGAAACCCUGAUCCAGCCAUCCCGCGUGUGUGAUGAAGGCCUUCGGGUUGUAAAGCACUUUUGACAGGGAAGAAAUGACAGGAGCUAAUAACUUCUGUAGAUGACGGUACCUGUAGAAUCAGCACCGGCUAACUACGUGCCAGCAGCCGCGGUAAUACGUAGGGUGCAAGCGUUAAUCGGAAUUACUGGGCGUAAAGCGUGUGUAGGCGGUUCGGAAAGAAAGAUGUGAAAUCCCGGGGCUUAACCUCGGAACUGCAUUCUUAACUGCCAGGCUAGAGUAUGUCAGAGGGGGGUAGAAUUCCGCGUGUAGCAGUGAAAUGCGUAGAGAUGCGGAGGAAUACCGAUGGCGAAGGCAGCCCCCUGGGAUAAUACUGACGCUCAGGCACGAAAGCGUGGGGAGCAAACA
rnacentral:rRNA from 1 species